rnacentral:lncRNA from 13 species
UGGGAAGGAAGAGCCGGGUCAAUAAUUGGGCCCAGGUCUUGCACUCACACUGCAAUCAGACUGACUCUACUUUCGUCUGUUUUAGUCAUUUGAGCUUCUAAGAUGCUCAGUCAUUUGAGCUGCUAAAAAUGUUUGAGAAACUACAAUGGACAAGACUUUCUGUAAAGGAGUUUCCAUGUUUAAUGCCCUCUGCCUUUAUUCUUCUUGCCAUCUUGCCUAUCCACAGCAAGCCUCAGUUCUAGGCAUAGCCUGCCAUUCCUGAUCUUGGAAGGACAUUUGAGCACGGGGUGAGAGAUGGACAUCCCUUGAAAGGGGACUACAGUUCGGGUCUUUGCACGUGGUGGAGGUUGCUAAAGUGGAAGCCAAAAUCCCUUUCCUCUUCAGGUAGGAGGAGGUCACUGUCUGUCCCCAAGACCCAAGACAUGGGCCUUGGUCUAGGGAGCUGAUAUGGUUUGAAUCUGUGUCCCUGCCCAAAUCUCAUGUCAAAUUGGAGGAGGGUACUGGUGGGAGGUGACUGGAUCAUGAGGGUGGAUUUCCCCCUUGCUGUUCUCAUGAUAGUGAGUUCUUAUAAGAUCUGAUGGUUUAAAAGUGUGUGGCACUACCCACUUUGCUUUCUCUCUCCUUCUGCCAUGUGAAGAAGGUGCUUCCUUCCCCUCUGCCUUUUGCCGUGAUUGUAAGUUUCCUGAGGCCUCCCAGCCAUGCUUCCUGUACAGCCUGCAGAACUCAGUGUGAGAAGGGAUCAAUACAGGAGCCAUGGAUUUCAAGGGCCCUCCCUCACCCCUCCUUAGCCCACAUCUGCAGGGCCUCCGUGCUGCAGGCAAACAUAGGCUCCUGAAGAAGAUCAC